UCGAACGAGAAAUGUUAUUAUGAUCUCUUCGGAGUGACGGUUUUAUUUCGAGUGGCGGACGGGUGAGUAACGCGUGAGCAACCUGCCCUAUACCGGGGGAUACCAGUUGGAAACGACUGUUAAUACCGCAUAAGCGCACGAUAAGACAUCUUGUUGUGUGAAAAACUCCGGUGGUAUAGGAUGGGCUCGCGUAUGAUUAGCCAGUUGGCGGGGUAAAGGCCCACCAAAGCGACGAUCAUUAGCCGACCUGAGAGGGCGACCGGCCACAUUGGGACUGAGACACGGCCCAAACUCCUACGGGAGGCAGCAGUGGGGAAUAUUGCACAAUGGGCGAAAGCCUGAUGCAGCGACGCCGCGUGAGUGAGGAAGUAUUUCGGUAUGUAAAGCUCUAUCAGCAGGGAAGAAAGAAAUGACGGUACCUGAGUAAGAAGCUCCGGCUAAAUACGUGCCAGCAGCCGCGGUAAUACGUAUGGAGCAAGCGUUAUCCGGAUUUACUGGGUGUAAAGGGAGCGUAGGCGGCAGAGCAAGUCUGAUGUGAAAGCCCGGGGCUCAACCCCGGUAGUGCAUUGGAAACUGUUCGGCUCGAGUGUCGGAGGGGUAAGCGGAAUUCCUGGUGUAGCGGUGAAAUGCGUAGAUAUCAGGAAGAACACCGGAGGCGAAGGCGGCUUACUGGACGAUUACUGACGCUGAGGCUCGAAAGCGUGGGGAGCGAACAGGAUU
rnacentral:rRNA from 1 species